rnacentral:rRNA from 1 species
UACGUAGGGUGCAAGCGUUGUCCGGAAUUAUUGGGCGUAAAGAGCUCGUAGGCGGUUUGUCGCGUCUGCUGUGAAAACCCGAGGCUCAACCUCGGGCCUGCAGUGGGUACGGGCAGACUAGAGUGCGGUAGGGGAGAUUGGAACUCCUGGUGUAGCGGUGGAAUGCGCAGAUAUCGGGAAGAACACCCGUGGCGAAGGCGGUUCUCUGGGACGGUACUGACGCUGAGACGCGAAAGCGUGGGGAGCGAACAGG